GGGAACGUUGCUAAACCACAAACAUACUAUUAUUUUUAUUACCAAUAUUAUGCUUGAGUAGAUUGCUUAUAUACCUCAUUAAUGCACAAUAUCCAAAUAUUGAUUGUUUUCUUCUUUUUCUAAUGGUCUUUCCUUUCACAAAUGCCCUAGCCCCCGAUGCCUUUUUUUUAUUUUGAAUGAAAGGUUCUGUAUGUUUCCUUUUCAUUUGAGAUUGAUUUUUCAUUAUGUGAUUUUGAUGCCUUUAUUUUGUAAUUUGGUAUGCUACCUGCGGCCAUAUAGUUUGCCCCCCAUUUGAAGAUUUUCAUUUUCAUCAAUCCUGAUUCAUGCUUAUUUCUGUUCUGUUCAGGUGAGAAGGAAGCUUGUAGAAGAAUGGCUUCCGGUUUUGGUUGUAUGCAAAGACAAUGUUUCACCAGUAUCACCCAGCAACAAGUCAUUAUAUCUAGAGCUGGAAGAAACAUUUUUACGAAUCAUCUCCACCUUGCCCAUGUCAGAUGCUCAAGAAUUAUUGCAGCGGUGCCUCAGCUUUUCAACCCGAAAUGUCGAAGAUUAUCCUCACUUGGUGUCAGCAUGCAAAACCUGGUUCAGGCGGGCAGCUCAACCCCUGAAACCAGAUUGUCUCUUUAAUCAGUGAGAUAUCUGUUCAGUUCUGUUGCACCAUUGUUGGUUGGCUUCACAAAUAUUGUGCAUAUGUUUAUAUACUAACUCUGUUCAGAAAGCUGUAGUUUAACAUUGUACAGAUGCCUGUCUUUCUAGGACAAACAACAACCCAGAUACUUAGAUCUUGUUUUGAGGUCUCUGGUUGUUGGCAAUGGCUAGUUGGUUCCCUGAAAUGCAAGAUUUUAGUUGCUUGUAUUUCUUAGUUGAAACUUUAAACGAUGGUUUGGGAAUCAGAGGUCAAAAUGAAUAUACCAGCUUUGAUUCGACCCUUUUUCAAAUAAAAUAGUUCAUUCUAAAAAUUCUUUUCUUAUAAAUAAGGUUAUCAUAUGUAACACAUGAUAGUAAAAAAAAUGAUCAUAUGUAUAAGUAAUAUUUGAUAUCUUAGCUUCACAAUAUAGUAAAUAUAAGUAAUAGGAAAACAUGACAUUAUACUUGAUUCAAUUGUUAUACUUAAUCCUACACGCUUCUAUGGCUCAAUAAUAUUAAAAAAAUUGGCUUCUUGUUACGAGAAUGCGAAAAAUGAAACGCAAGAAAGUCCAAGAUUAUCUUAAUUUUCUAAAGCUUGAAUUCUCACAAGUUUGACAAUAAGUUCCUUGCAAUUUAACUUGUUUUUGUGUCCCACGAUCAUACCUUAAUGAAGCUUUAAGAGUUCAACUUGAGAGCUUUGAAAACCAUGAUUACGAGAUAGCUUAACAUACUGCCUUGUUGACCACAUUCAAAUCUGCGUUGUUUUUUUUUUUAAUGGUAAAAUGGGGACGAAAUACCUCUUGACUACCGGACAAACAGGGACAGGGCGCAGUGGCAUGUUGAGGAAAAACAGCAAAGGACUGAUCCAAAAUAAGAAUUAAGAACAUCAAGUGAUCUUCUUGAAGAGUUACCCAACGAUUGAGAUUUUAUAACGCAGUGGAGUUUAAACCUUUAGCCUAUGGAUAGAUGGAAGUUAAAACCGAAACCUAUACUCAGCUGCGCCAUCUAAGUGGCCAUUAUUUACAAGCAAGCAGAUUUUAAGAAGAUCAUGUCAAACAUAACCAAAUAUAUCAAAAGAAAUAUUCAUAACAUUCAAUAUUUUAACUUCUAAUAAUGUAAAUAAAAGUAAUCAAGAAAACAUGACAGUAUACUUCAUUCAAUUGCUAUAUUAUACUUUAUCCUGCACAACUAUAGCUCAAGAAUACAUAAAAAAGUUAUGGCGAAAACAUAAAAUUUAGUUCAUGUUUGGAAAUUCUCAUACGCCUGGGAAUCUUGGCAAAAUGUUAUAUGCUUACGUGUCAUUCUUAGUGCGAGCUUGUUAGGGAAGAUAACUUAUUGGGCUUUGGAUUUAUGUUGUGGCCUGUUUUGUAGUCUGGGCCUCGAAUUCGCGUAGUUGGAUCCCGGUCAGGAAUAAAUUUAUCAUCGACAUUAUUUGAACUUUAAUAUCAGUUAUGCUAUAUGGUAUGAGUGUAUUCUGAACGAAUUGUGCAAAUUUGAUGAUGUGUGUGUGCGUUUUAACAAGCAGUCCAUCCUAAGAAGGUAAUAGAUAUUACAGUCUCAUCACCCGCUUCGCCGGAAAACAUUUGUGUCACAACUCACAACCCUCUGUGCUAAAGUGCUCUCCAAUCUCAAAAUUUGGAAUGAGGCGCAUCAUCUUUUUCUCUCCAGUCAAUGGUUAUAGCUUGUUUCAUUCAUUGAAUUGUAAUUGAUGCAAUAGUUGUGAUUUCCAUUUCAAGUUUAGUACUUGGAAGAGAUCGUGGAGUUGAUAUCUCGUAUCUGUACUUAGUUCUUUAUGAACCUUAUUUUCUUUACAUGUGUGCUGGUGGUUUGCAUAUCUAUAAGCUUUUAUUGCAGAAUCCACGCCAUUAAAAAUUCAGCGGUGAUUGCAUUUGUUCAUCCUAAAAGGGAUUUGUUCAAUGCUGGUGCUCAAUUUCUUCUCUUUGCAAAAAAUCCAAAAAUAGGCUGCUUAAUUUAUUCAUUCACAAACAUAUACCUUUUGUAAGGUGAAUUGAAUUCCUUAUGACUACAACAUUUUAGUGCAUACUUGUUUACGGUUUAUACAAAAUUCAAAGCUAUGUUAGCACAAAAGUAACAAAGAGCUGCUGCGGGAGUAGGGGAACGUUGCUAAACCACAAACAUACUAUUAUUUUUAUUACCAAUAUUAUGCUUGAGUAGAUUGCUUAUAUACCUCAUUAAUGCACAAUAUCCAAAUAUUGAUUGUUUUCUUCUUUUUCUAAUGGUCUUUCCUUUCACAAAUGCCCUAGCCCCCGAUGCCUUUUUUUUAUUUUGAAUGAAAGGUUCUGUAUGUUUCCUUUUCAUUUGAGAUUGAUUUUUCAUUAUGUGAUUUUGAUGCCUUUAUUUUGUAAUUUGGUAUGCUACCUGCGGCCAUAUAGUUUGCCCCCCAUUUGAAGAUUUUCAUUUUCAUCAAUCCUGAUUCAUGCUUAUUUCUGUUCUGUUCAGGUGAGAAGGAAGCUUGUAGAAGAAUGGCUUCCGGUUUUGGUUGUAUGCAAAGACAAUGUUUCACCAGUAUCACCCAGCAACAAGUCAUUAUAUCUAGAGCUGGAAGAAACAUUUUUACGAAUCAUCUCCACCUUGCCCAUGUCAGAUGCUCAAGAAUUAUUGCAGCGGUGCCUCAGCUUUUCAACCCGAAAUGUCGAAGAUUGUCCUCACUUGGUGUCAGCAUUCAACACCUGGUUCCGGCGGGCAGCUCAACCCCUGAAACCAGAUUGUCUCUUUGAUCAGUGAGAUAUCUGUUCAGUUCUGUUGCAC
rnacentral:lncRNA from 1 species